GGCGAAGGGGGCUAGCGUUGUUCGGAAUUACUGGGCGUAAAGCGCGUGUAGGCGGUUGCCCAAGUCGGGUGUGAAAGCCUUGAGCUCAACUCAAGAAAUGCACUCGGUACUGGGUGACUAGAGGACCGGAGAGGAUAGUGGAAUUCCCAGUGUAGUGGUGAAAUACGUAGAGAUUGGGAAGAACACCAGUGGCGAAGGCGGCUCACUGGCCCGGUACUGACGCUCAUGUGCGAAAGCGUGGGGAGCAAACAGG
rnacentral:rRNA from 1 species